rnacentral:rRNA from 1 species
CCUACGUGAGGCAGCAGUGGGGAAUAUUGCGCAAUGGGCGAAAGCCUGACGCAGCGACGCCGCGUGAGGGAUGAAGGUCUUCGGAUCGUAAACCUCUGUCAGCAGGGAAGAACGGUCACUGUGCUAAUCAGCAGUGAAUUGACGGUACCUGCAAAGGAAGCACCGGCUAACUCCGUGCCAGCAGCCGCGGUAAUACGGAGGGUGCGAGCGUUAAUCGGAAUUACUGGGCGUAAAGCGCGCGUAGGCGGUAUGUCAAGUCAAGGGUGAAAUCCCCGCGCUGAACGUGGGAACUGCCUUUGAAACGGGCAAACUGGAGUGUGGGAGAGGAUAGUGGAAUUCCAGGUGUAGGAGUGAAAUCCGUAGAUAUCUGGAGGAACAUCAGUGGCGAAGGCGACUAUCUGGCACAUAACUGACGCUGAGGAGCGAAAGCGUGGGUAGCAAACAGGAUUAGAUACCCGAGUAGUC